GAUGAACGCUGGCGGCGUGCCUAAUACAUGCAAGUCGAGCGAACAGACGAGGAGCUUGCUCCUCUGACGUUAGCGGCGGACGGGUGAGUAACACGUGGAUAACCUACCUAUAAGACUGGUAUAACUUCGUGAAACCGGAGCUAAUACCGGAUAAUAUAUUGAACCGCAUGGUUCAAUAGUGAAAGACGGUUUUGCUGUCACUUAUAGAUGGAUCCGCGCCGCAUUAGCUAGUUGGUAAGGUAACGGCUUACCAAGGCAACGAUGCAUAGCGGACCUGAGAGGGUGAUGUGAAACACUGGAACUGAAAAACGGUACAAACUCCUACGGGAGGCAGAAAUUGAGAAUCUUCCGCACUGGCGGAAAGCCGGACGGAAAAAAGCCGCUUGAGUGAUGAAGGUCUUCGGAUCGUAAAACUCUGUUAUUAGGGAAGAACAAAUGUGUAAGUAACUAUGCACGUAUUGACAGUACCUAAUCAGAAAGCCACGGCUAACUACGUG
rnacentral:rRNA from 1 species